rnacentral:tRNA from 1 species
AAGAAGGUGGUAGAGUGGUUAUACAGCCGGCUUGAAACCGGUAUAUGGGGGUUCAAUUCCCUCCCUUCUCG